AUGAACGCUAGCGGCAGGCUUAACACAUGCAAGUCGAGGGGUAUAGUAGCAAUACUAGAGACCGGCGCACGGGUGCGUAACGCGUAUGCAAUCUACCUUUUACAGAGGGAUAGCCCAGAGAAAUUUGGAUUAAUACCUCAUAGCAUAGCAGCUUCGCAUGAAGUUACUAUUAAAGUUCCAACGGUAAAAGAUGAGCAUGCGUCCUAUUAGCUAGAUGGUAAGGUAACGGCUUACCAUGGCUACGAUAGGUAGGGGUCCUGAGAGGGAGAUCCCCCACACUGGUACUGAGACACGGACCAGACUCCUACGGGAGGCAGCAGUGAGGAAUAUUGGACAAUGGGCGCAAGCCUGAUCCAGCCAUGCCGCGUGCAGGAAGACGCAUCUAUGGUGUGUAAACUGCUUUUGUACGGGAAGAAACACUCCCUCGUGAGGGAGCUUGACGGUACCGUAAGAAUAAGGAUCGGCUAACUCCGUGCCAGCAGCCGCGGUAAUACGGAGGAUCCAAGCGUUAUCCGGAAUCAUUGGGUUUAAAGGGUCCGUAGGCGGUUUGGUAAGUCAGUGGUGAAAGCCCACCGCUUAACGAUGGAACGGCCAUUGAUACUGCCAGACUUGAAUUACUAGAAAGUAACUAGAAUAUGUAGUGUAGCGGUGAAAUGCUUAGAUAUUACAUGGAAUACCAAUUGCGAAGGCAGGUUACUACUAGUGGAUUGACGCUGAUGGACGAAAGCGUGGGGAGCGAACAGGAUUAGAUACCCUGGUAGUCCACGCCGUAAACGAUGGAUACUAGCUGUUCGGAGCAAUCUGAGUGGCUAAGCGAAACUGAUAAGUAUCCCACCUGG
rnacentral:rRNA from 1 species